ensembl:lncRNA
AUCUCUUUCUGGAGUUCACUCCCUUUGGAGAUUUCUACUGCGAGCCUAGUACACGGCCCUCCUUCUGCCACCUAGACAUAGUACAGGCACCAAAAGACCAUCUAGUAAUAACAGAGAUCUGAGAGAUCUGGUGGAAGAAGGACACUGCUACUAGAAUGUCAAUAUUUCAGGAAUCUAGUGGGAUGUACAAGUGUGAGGAUGACACUGUCAUCAAGGCAUUAUAUAAACGGUAUUGUGGUAUUACAGGAAAGGAGAAAGACUAAGAGAGAGAAGACAUGGGUUGAAUUGCAGGUAAAACAUGUCUGAGGGUUGCACUAUCAGCUUCCUAUCAGGAUGAAGAUAAUGAUCAGAAAAUGUGAAAGAUUGGACAAACUACAUGUAUCAGAAAAGGAGUGAUAGAAGGAGAUUUCAAAUAUAUUUCAGUAGACUCAAGCAGUGCCUUGUGGAUGUGAUGUAGAGAUAAGUUCAGACGCAGUAACACUUCACUGUAUCAGCUUGUCUUAAAGAUCAUAGAAAAAGAGAAUGUUUGGAAUUUUUGCCCUGAAAAGAUGCACAGAACAUGGUCCAAGACAGAUCAGUGGGAAAGCGUGUGCUUUAAUGGAAACUGUAGUGCAAUUCCUUUUAAGAGUGUGGUGCAAGAGAAUGGGACAAAUAAAUCAAGCAUAUUGAUAUCUGAUUUCAAGAAAGGGAGCUAUAAAGAAAGACAGAUUUUCAAAUGCAAGAUGGAGUUUCUCAAAAACACUGUGUUCUGCAUGAAGGCUGCAUCCCAGGUAGAAUGUUUGCUAAAACUCAGAAAGAAAACAAAGCUGUACAAAUGUCCCCUGCAUGUCUUCCUGAAAUAGUUAAGGAGACUUCUGUAGGCAAUAGUUUGGCUUCUAAAAAAUGAAGAACUUGCUCAAAUAGGAAGAAAAGGAAUACUUCCUAAAAUUGAAGGUCAACUGGAAAGAGGUAAAUUAGAGCCCUGAAACAGAAAUGCCCUAAAACCUUGCAAAACGUGUUUAAACAGGGAGUCAAGCAAUACUUUAAACAGACCUAAAGCAAGAAACCAGCUGGGGAACUGGCAGAAAUGUUUGAGGAUAAAGUUGUUCAGAGUGUGUGCCUGGUGAACAGGUUGUAUCAGAGAAGAACAAUAAAAUCAUUGUUUUGGACUUCAACUUGGAUGAAGGUGUAGGACAGGGAUCAGCACCUGAAUGAUACUUUCUCUCUAGCAGAGAGGAAGAGAAGCUGGAUCAGACUGAAGUAGAUACACAGGAACUAUUACAUCACCUGGGUAAGUCAGAUGCCAAAAAAAAACAUUACAACUAGAUCUCACUCAGCUGAGAGCCUUGAAGACUGUUGGCCAAACUGUAUUUCAGCACUACAAACAGCCACAGCUGACAAACUUUAGACUGACAAUGUAACUGUACAAAAGUGGCCAAGAAGAGGAUUCUGGAAACGAGAAAUUGAUGACUGACUUUUGUCUCUGGUAUGACAGAAAGAUCUGAAAUAAAGCUUGAGAAUCAGCAUGGCUUCUGGUAGAGUAUACCUAUAGGAAGCAUCAGUGAGUUUAUACAGGGGUUUUAGUGAAUAAAUAGUGUAUAGAAAAAAGAAUGUAGCAGAUUGCAGAAAGCUGUAUGAAAAGCAAUU